AUGGUUUGUUCUUCAGUGUAUCUUAGGCUUUUGUUUUUCUAAUUUAAAAAAAAAAAAACUUCAAUCGUCGAAAUUGUUUCAGAAAUCUCCCGCCUUUUUUUUGUGUCUGUGAUAUUUAUUCCCCUCGACUCCAUCGAAGAUGGCAAAUAGAUUUAGGGGUUUUGGUAGGAUGUUGUCUACUGCUAAGAAUACCACCAGAAAAGAGGGUUUUGGAAGCUCCCCCAAUUGACUAUGUCAGUGAACGGAUGAAGCAGAUUGUUGGUGACAAUUAUCGUGAACUUACUUUUGCACAACAGAAAGAAGCUAUUACUAAACGGGUAAAUAAACGGGUUGAUAAUGAAAUGAUUAAGGCAAUAUCUGCUGGUGCGACAUUUUGUCUAGCUCUCUCGGCUCUUUACACCUGCAUCCUAUUUGGCUGGUACCCUUUUAAGUGAGGAUGAUAUAUUUAGGUGGAAACACACUAGUUGGAAGGAUGGUCAUGGGAUCCUCACACCGCAUUUACUACUGAAAAUUAGCUUACAAUGAAGUCACUACUCCUACUUUUUCAACCCUAUUAUCAUUUUUGGUCUCAAGUUUGGGACUCUUAAAUCCCAUCCUAGGAUGAAUGUCUUCACAUGGAUUUUUUUUCUUUGUUUUUUUUGCAAUUAGUGUUUUUCACCUUUUAAUAGAAGAAACACUAUGUAGAGUUCCUCUGCAAAUACUGGCUGCUGUAUGUGUUAUUAUUCAGUAAAAGAAACACUAUGUAGAGGUGAGGUCGGUCUCCUCUCUAGUGUCUUGACAUGUCAAGUAAAAGAAAUAGCUAAUAAAGAUAUUAGUCUUGCUUAUAAGGUUUGAUUAUUCAAUUCUUCCUCGAAUUGGGUACUUGCUGCUUUGAUAGAAAGUCUUAGUUGGAGAAUAGUUACUGAGAUGUCAAAAUCAUCUCCCGGUUUCCUCCCUAAAAAUUCAGUAUUUUUUCAUCUUUCUUCUGAACAGAGGUUUUGAAAUAAAUUCAAAAGAGUCUCUGCUUUAAUGAUUUUAGUACACUUUCCAGAAUAAUAUUGCUUUUCCCCCAAAAAAAGGAGGUCUUUUUAUUGUACAUUUUUGGCUAAAAGGCUCCUGCCUAAAAAGUAAAAGUUACUGAGAGGUGCGACGUCUUUUCGAACAAUGAUGCAACUGCUUAAAACCAUGGUGCCGUUUCACAAAAUUCGCAUGGUUCAUGCUGUCCUCUACCCCUUUGAUUCCUAAGGUUUAGCUGUUCUCUAACUAUCCUUAUAUAUUAUAUUAGCAUCCAUCACUUCUCCAUUUGGUUUUCAACCGGAAAGACUUUGUUGCAUUGCCUUGUGGCAUUUAUGGACGCAUACAUGUCAUUCUACUUUUGAAACGAAUUUUCCAUCUGCAAGGGAAACUGUUAUUCAAUUCAAUUGAAAAUGCGAAUGCUAUUACGAAUAGGUAGUUUAUGAACCAGCCUUCUAAUAUUUUGGACUAUUUCCACGCGAUAGAGACAAAAGAAACAUGAAAACCCCAUUGCUUCUUUCCACCUCAAAUGUUGUAGCAUGUUAAGCCUGUCACUUAUUUGUUUACCCUAGAACUCUUUAGUGGAAAAUUUAUGUAUAACUCCUCUGCAAAUACUGGCUGCUAUCUUUGUUAUGACUCUUUUUUUUUUAAAGUCUUUUAUAAGGCGAGGGGGUCUCCCCUCCAGUGUCUUGACGUGUCAAGUAAAAGAAAUAGCUAAUAAAGAUAUGCUAGUCUUACGUAUAAGGUUGAUCUCAAUUCUUCCUCAAACAAGGCACCUGCUGCUUCAAUAGAAACUCUUACUUGGAGAAUACUUACUAAGUUGUCAAAAUCAUCUCAUGUAUUCCUCCCUUGUUCUAAGGGCUAAAGAUUUAGAAUAUCUUUUCCCGAACAUAGGUUUUGAAAUAUAUUCUAAGGGCUAAAAAUUUAGAUUAAGACCUCCCCUCUAACAACUUUCGAUGUGCUAGUAUCCAUAAGAGAUGCUUUAUUUAAGGAGGACAUUUGAGGUGCCAUGAUUGUUUCUACUUUGAGGAAGAAUCAGACUUUCCUAAAUCAUCCUGACAAAUUAAGUUGUAUGCAGAUUUUCUUUCAGGAUAAUAACCUACAAUACUAAUUGGGAUUGCCGUUAUUUUCUUUCUUAUACUAUUAUAGUUAGCUCUAAGAUGUAAAAUGUCUUUAUAUUGU